CUGGAGGGACGCAGUGCUUGGGGAGGUUGCGUGUUGCUGCGAGUGUUGUGAUGGUGCAUUACUGACAAGUGUGUGAUGGGUAGAAAGUUCUCAAAAACGAUAACUUUUGCGACGUUACCCAUAUUAAUGUGUGUAUUUUUCGUUCUGGAGAGUUCUAACAACACGAGAGAAGAUUCGCAUGAAUGAAGGACUCAGACAUGAAAGCAAGGGCAAGACUUCGACGAAUACCGUGUUAAAAUUAAUAGAGUAGUGAGUAGCAAUAUUUUGUGUCACGUAUUGGUGAAAUUAAUGUUCUUGGUUUAACGACAGAUGGAGUGAAGUGAUAUAUAUGUAAAUGAAUUGAAAAAGCAAGACAGGAAAAGGAAUGAGACAACGUGCAAAGAAGCUGCUGCAACACAUGUUUCGUGCCGUUUACGUGGAAUCGUACGUCUUUGUGCUUAAGGAGACGACGUUGAGGACUCAGCGUAUUAUUCAGAUGUGGCUGUGAUAUUGAAAAUCUUUUCUCUCUUUCUCCGCCAGUUGACAACAACAAGAACAGAAAAAUUCGUUCAAGAAUUUAAUUCUGAAGUUAUUCGAGCGAUUAAAGGAUUUCAUCGACGUACGAAGACAACCGACAAAAGACCAUUCUCGGGACGGAUAUUUCUGACCCGUGUUAGAUAGCAACUUCAUGGCUGUAGUUGGUCCUAGCAGACACUCCAGAGUGUCCAUGUCCGUGUCGAUGCCGCUCAUGCCUGGCGGGGGAGGAGGGGGAGGACACCAACAAGCCAUAUUAGCAGCUGCCCAGCCUUAUUACCACCCACAACAUUCUCACCAAACGCCAGCAACGCCUGCACAUUCUCACACACAGGAUGUGCAACCGGAUAGACCAAUCGGUUAUGGAGCUUUCGGAGUCGUUUGGGCGGUGACGGACCCGAGGGACGGGCGGCGCGUCGCGCUCAAGAAGCUGCCCAACGUCUUCCAGUCGCUCGUCUCGUCCAAGCGCGUCUUCCGCGAGCUCAAGAUGCUCUGCUUCUUCAAGCACGAGAACGUGCUGUCCGCGUUGGACAUCCUCCAGCCGCCGCACCUGGACUUCUUCCAGGAAAUCUAUGUCAUCACGGAGCUCCUGCAGAGUGAUCUACACAAAAUAAUAGUAUCUCCCCAGCACCUGUCCGCCGACCACAUCAAAGUCUUCCUCUACCAGAUCCUCAGAGGUCUGAAAUACCUGCAUUCUGCACGCAUCUUGCACCGUGAUAUAAAACCGGGGAACCUACUUGUCAACAGCAAUUGUGUCCUCAAGAUCUGCGACUUCGGGUUGGCACGCGUAGAGGAGCCAGACCAGUCAAAGCACAUGACUCAGGAGGUGGUGACACAGUACUACCGGGCGCCUGAAAUACUGAUGGGCGCGCGACACUACUCCGCUGCCGUAGACGUCUGGAGCGUCGGCUGCAUCUUCGGGGAGCUUCUUGGGCGACGCAUCCUCUUUCAAGCGCAGAGCCCAGUCCAACAGCUGGAGUUAAUAACGGAACUGCUUGGCACACCGUCGCUGGAAGACAUGCGGUACGCUUGUGACGGGGCACGAACCCACAUGCUGCGGCGUGCGCCCAAGCCGCCCUCCAUGGCUGCCCUGUACACCCUCUCCUCACAGGCCACGCAUGAGGCAGUGCACCUGCUGUGCCAGAUGCUGGUUUUUGACCCUGACAAACGAAUAACAGUUGGUGAUGCUCUGGCUCACCCGUACUUGGACGAGGGCCGCUUAAGAUACCACUCCUGCAUGUGCAAGUGUUGCUACACGACUCCAGGAGGCCUCAGGCAGUACACACCGGACUUCGAGCCUGUUGCACCCCACAGCUUUGAUGAUCUGUGGGAGAAGAAGCUGACUUCUGUUCAGCAGGUCAAAGAGGAAAUGCACAAGUUUAUUGCAGAACAACUGAAUACCAGUAGAGUCCCGUUGUGCAUUAAUCCUCAAUCUGCAGCUUUCAAGAGUUUUGCCAGGUAAGGCUGCAACCACAGCCACAAGAGGCAAACAUCUGGAGGGCCUUCUCUUCUCCUACUUCAUCCCUUCCCCGAUAAUGAUCGAUAAAGCUCUAUGUCGUACUCCGGACAUGCUGAGAGGCUCUACAGUUGCCCACCCGUCUGAACUACCUCCCUCGCCCCAUCAAUGGGAGUGACGCUAUCCUCAUCCUAGCAUCCAAUUGUGAAAAUGUCUAGAAUAUUCUCGUUCUCGCCCGGUUGUUGGGUUGCUUCUCUUCCACAUGUGGCAGCCGAGUGGGGUAUGGUUUGCACCUAAUGCAAAUUAAUAACUUAACAUACCUGAAUUUUGAUUCCAGACUAAUCUUCACAAACUAACGUUUCUAAACGUGGUGGUGAAGUGUGUAGGAGUGUGGCUGUCGGGAGAGUAAGGACACAUCAUGAUGGCAACCGUCAAAAAUAAAAGAUUUCGUAUUGUUGGUAAAUACUAAUAAACAAAUUGGGAAGUGUAAAUAGUGAACUGUGCCUCUGUAUAUACCGAGAUGUGAUUGUAUUAAUGAUGCCAUUACAUGCAAUCAGUGCAGUGUUAAUGAACAAGUGAAAAUGUGUGUGACAGUCAUUUGAUAUUUGCUUGAAAAUGUGGUAUUAACUCUGACAGGCCUGUUCAGAGAGUAACCGUGUCAAGUGGCAAAAGAAGUGUGUGUUCAUUAGUACUGACUGAACACUGUAUUCAAACUGUGUGUGUGUGUGUGUGUGUGUGUGUGUGUGUGUGUGUGUGUGUGUGCGCGCGCGCGCGUGCACACUUGUGCGCCAGUGGAUUUGUACACAAAAUAAUGGUAUCUGCCUAGUAUCUGGAAGGCAGUUUCAUGGUAAAUCAGUGCAUUUGAUACAAAAUUUAUUUGACUGUUAAUUUAUCUACUUAAUAAGGCAUGUAUCUUUAUUUAUGUAUUGUAAAAAUAUUUAGUGGUGAGUUAUCAUUUAUAUCUGAGACUGCAGUGCAUUCAAAUUUUCUGGUGUUUAAAUAGUGAGAUCUGAAAUUGGUUUCUUUCAGUUACUGCAUUGCUUCUUCCUUAUCUGUGUCCUAACUCAUAAAACACUUUCUUGAUAUGUCUGUAGUUCCAGUUGGCUAACACGUUUCCUUGUCUUAUUUCACCUUCAUUAUAGUUGUAGCAUAAAUUUAAGUGCUGCUUAAGUUGUGGGCAUAGCAAGAUGCAUAGUAACUGUUAGUGUAGGAGACUAAGUUAACUGAUGGGGAAAUAUCUGAUACUGAUGUUCAUAAAGUAGUGACACAUCAUUAUGUUUUAAUAUAGGAAAGAGGUUUGCUAAUUGUAAUUUUUGUGUGUUUCAUCUGUUGUGUGAGGACUUUGCGAUGUGAAGAUGUAUAGUAGCUUUUAACAGUAUGUUAUGUUUUUAAUUAUUAUUUUUAGCUAUGAAGCAGAAUAAAAAAAAUCUCAUGGCUCUGUUAACUUGUGUUUUGUGUUGGGCUUACAUUUAUGUUUGCAUUUAAUAUUUUCAACAGCAUUAGAAAUAAUGUGUUACGUAGUAAGAUUUCUCUCUCUCUCUCUCUGUCUGUCUGUCUGUCUGUGUGUGUGUGUGUGUGUGUGUGUGUGUGUGUGUGUCUGUCUGUCUGUCUGUCUGUGUGUGUGUGUGUGUGUGUGUGUGUGUGUGUGUGUGUGGUUGUAAACUCGUGUCUCAAACGGUAUAAAAUUUGCAGGCCCCUGUAGAUCACCGCUUGCCUUCAGGUUGUGUGUUGUCAUUAUUACUCUUGCGUUCUUUCUUGUACAUAAGAUAAGGAGAGCCAGUCAUUGUGACUGACUUGUUUUGUUAUUAUUAAUGUUUAGCUGUAAUACAUCCUGCUAUGCCCUGUUUUAAAGCUCUUAAUGCAAUACAAUGCGGAACAUUUUGUUUGCAAUUGUAUCCACCGAUCUCAUAACACCAAUUAGUCAGAUUUUUAUCAGUUUAUUUCUUAGAGCAUUGUUGCUUAGUUGAUGUAUUUGAACUCUCUUAAUGAAUGUUUCCUAUUAUUUUAGUUAUUAGGGUACGAGAGGAUUGAUUUUGUGUUCCUCUGGUCAAUAUUUUAAAGUGUGAGCAUUGUGAGGCUUGAGUGUGAGAGCUUUGUAUUACUUUCAGAUUUAUUGAAAAUGACUUCUUAAACUAGGCGAUAAAAUGUUUCCCUAGUGAACUGACUUGUGUGCAUUUAAUGUAUUACCUACAUUUUAUGGUAGCAGCUGACCACCAAAUUUGAAAAAAAAUUAACAUUUGUAACUGAUGUACUGCAUUACAAUAUGUCUAUAAGGAUUACUUCAGAAUAGCAGACUUUUGAUGAGGAAAAUCACUAUAUACACACAUAAAUUGUAAUUUGAAAAGGUAAAGAAGAAUUUUAAAAAUAGGAAAUGUAUGUAUUUGUGUGUUGUAUUAAGAUACAAAGCUUUGUGAACAUUUUUUAAUUAUUUUACAUCCUGUCUUCCACAAAUUACUGAAUUAGCUUGUAUAGAAAAAGUUGCUUACAUAAUGAGUCAUUUCCUUUUCUUUGCUCAUGCAGAAAAAUAUAGUUUUAAGAAAAUGUUACAGUGAAAGCAUUGUAAUUGCAUUAGGUAAAAAAAUGUUCACUAUUGCUACAUUGGUACAGAAAAUGUAUGUGUGUAGCUCUGAGUUGUUUUAGAGCUCAUAUUAAUAUUCUCAGUAAAAUCUUACAGUACAUCAAAUGUUGAGAUUUAUGUUAAUCCCACAAACUGAGGCCUUACCAAAUACUGUCAGUAUAGUAUAUACAGUAGGUAACAAAUGAACUUGUGUGAUUUCCUGUGUGUAUAUGUCACGAUUACUCAAUGUCUGGAGUGAAAAAGAAAGACUUUUCAUCUGGGUGUUUAUUAUUAUCGCCAAAGUGUGAGUAAGAAAAUAUUCAGCUUAUCUUCUUUAUGUGUUUUAGAAGGUGUAUGGAACUUUGCCCUUUUUUCCCCCUUCAUGGAUGUAGGUAUGAGCAAAUGUUGUAUUUACUUUAAUUUUCCACCAGUCACUGCCAUUUGUAUCUGGUCUAUGGGUCAUAUUUCCAAUUGCUGGAACAGAGUUGUUCCUGUAUGGAGGGAAUGAAUCAUUCCUUAUAUACAAUAUAAUUAGCAUAUAAGCGAAACCUUAAUGGAGGUUUCCCAGCAAUUUCUGUUGCUGUGUGGCUUGGGAUCAAUCUUUAAUAGCUCACAGCAUUUCUCUGCUUCUCAUUUAACAACUGUGCAUCAUAUGCACAUUGCAUUAUAUCAUUACAGUUAAAGUACACUGGAGAAGUUUUACUUAUUAUGAGUGCAGUGUUAAUGACAAUUAUUGUACAGUGCACUAUUUCAUUAAUGAGGAGGAUUUUAUAAGUAAAGUUGAGUAGAUAAACUGCAAAAGAAUGUAGAUUCACUGUUCCAUAAUUGUAGCUUGAAAUAACACCCCGAAAAGUUUAAAAAAGGAGCCUUAUAUAAAACACUUGCUUUCCUGUAUGUCCAUUUUUACUUCAGUAUGUGUCGGUUUGACAUAGUGACAAAUAUCGUGAAAUAAAAUGUACAUAAUACUAUAGAUUUAAAAAAAAAUAAAAAUUUUAAAUCAUUAUAGUAGGGAUGAAAAUCAGGAAAGAAUAAGUAAGGUAGAUGAGUUUAUUUUAACUAACAAUUCUCAGUGUUUAAGUAGCCAUAUUAUAAGACAGUUAUGUCAGGGAAGUUGCUCAUGUCAUUACUGAAAUGUUGACGAUUGUAGUUUUUGUGGUGUAAUACUUUUGCUCAUCUCUGUAAUUGUCACAUUUCACCAAUUGUAUAUCAGGAGUGGUUAUGUAGUGGACAGCACCAGUCUCUUCCUUAAUGUAAAUAUUGUAAAAUACAUUGUCAUUAUAUGUUAUGUGUGUAGGGUGAAGGUUUUUGCAACUUUGCUCUAUAAGAAUCAUCUCACUUAAGUAAUGUUGUACUCUAUUUAUUCUGUGUUCAUGGGAUGGUUCUUACAGACAUAUUUUUUUAAUACUUUAGAUUGACUCUAAUAUAUGGCUACCAUUGCUGUAGUAAAAGAAGUUGCCGAGUUUUGGUAGUGACUUGAAUUUGAAAGGCCAGUUAUUUCAUUAGCUUUGCCUGCAAACUGAUAAAUGUAAUUUAUUGACAGCUGACAAAGUACUAGGAGAACACAGCCCUCCAGUCGUAUGCAACAAGUGACAAUCUGGAAGCUUUGCUGAAUCCUGUAAAAAUAUCUGUAUGUUUACAAUUAACAAACCUGUGCCAGGAUGCACAUAUGGAAAAUUUUUGUAACAUGAAAAUUCCGUUUAAUGGAAAUACAUAUUUGAUAAACCUAUUUACAGUGUUGUGAUAUUCAUUGGAGAAACAUUUAUUGGUCACUAAUUUAAUUAUGACAGAGAAUGACUAGAUGUGUACUACCUUAAGCAUUAUUUACGGGAUGGAACUUGAAUAUCUUUUGGAACCUUCUCCUACCAUAUGAACCUGUAAUCAUAGUCUGUUAAAAUAAGAUGUGUUAGAUUUGUGCUGCAUCAAGUAUAUUUUGUGAGGACUACAAAGUGAUAGGAAGUAGAUUAUGCGGGUUAUCGUGCCACUAUCUACAGUGAGAGUUCUCAAUUAUGCUCAAGAGUUUAGUAGACAGAAGGUUUGAAAGUAAACUUGAAAGGUAAUUGUGAAUAUCUGUCAAAUAACUUUCCUAGUAGGAUAAUGUGUCCUCACUGUAGGCAUUGGGAGUCUGUGGGCACGUAAUAAAAUAUGUGCUGUGUGAAUGGGUAAUAUUGUGGGAACUGAAGACAUAUUUAUGUAAACUGAAAAUAAAAUAAUAUUAUUGUUUACAGGAGUUCAAGAAAUUGUUCUGAAACGAUAUAAAUAACUUAGAAAAGGGAUAAAGAUGAUACUUUGAUGCGUACUUAGUGUGUGGAAUGCAGUUUACAGUAACCUGUAUUUACUUAUUAUUGAAAGGAGAUUUGACUAGGAAUUACAUUAAAAAUUUAUUUAAGAAAAAUUUGCGCAAUAUUUUCAUAAUUUCCCUGUAUUAUACUGUAAGGGAUUUAGAUUCUUUAAAGUAGAUAUAGUCUUAAUGUGAAUAGUUAUGGUUCACAGUGAACAAAAACAGGAGAAGUGAUUCAGCAUAUUAGACUUACUGACACAUACAUAAAUAAAGACACCAUCUUCAGUCAUUCCUGUUUAUUUACAAUGUUAGAACUAAGAUAAAUAGAGUAUUAUUUGUUUGAGAGGUGCAGUAAAGUGAAUGUAGUAUUGUAUCAAAGCUCCCAGUUCAUCACUUGUAAGGAGGGAACACAAUUUUGAGACACUAGUUUGACUGAAGAGCAACAUAGUUUUCUAUAAUGGCUAGUAUUAACUGUUUUGCUGACAAUAUUUGUGUAAAAUUAAAGAAAAUCAUAUAUGCAGGUUUACUUGCACUCUGUAUGCAUUUCAAGCUGCAGCAUGUACAAUUGUAGUUGUACGAAUUGUUUGUUUUUGCACUCAUGGUGUAAAUCGGCAGAGACACUGACAGUCAUUAACUUUGUUAUUCCAGAAUUAAUUUUAAACUACAUGCUCAUCUGCACACACGCACAGGCACACA